rnacentral:SRP_RNA from 1 species
GCUGGCCUUUAGUCACAGUUACUUAGGAAGCUGAGGCAAGAGAAUUGCUUGAGCCCAGGAGUUCUGGACUGUAGUGCACUAUGUCAGUUGGGUGUCUGCACUAAGUUUGCCAUCAAUAUGGUGACCUCCUGAGAGCAGGGAACCACCAUGUUGCCUAAGGAGGGGUGAACUGGUCCAGGUCUGAAACAGAACAGAUCAAAACCCCUGUGCUGAUCAGUAGUGACACCAUGCCUGUGAAUAGUCACUCCACUUCAGGCUGGGCAACAUAGCAAGACCUUGUCUCU